rnacentral:lncRNA from 1 species
UGACUUAUUUGUAAAUCUUACUUUGCUGAACAUUAUUGCUGUUUACAGUUUAUCUCUAUCUAAAAUAAUAUUCAAGAUAAAUACCAAAAACAGCAAAAUUUCCUUAAAAUUACCAAUUCAGGGGCAGCAACCCAACAACGGGUUGUCCGAUUCAUCUGAAAAUUUCAGGGCAGAUAAAUCUUGACCUGAUAAACAAUUUUAACCCCAUGUCAGAUUUGCUCUAAAUGCUUUGGUUUUUGAGUUAUAAGCCAAAAACUGCAUUUUACCCCUAUGUUCUAUUUUUAGCCAUGGCGGCCAUCUUGGAUAGUUGGCCGGGUCACCGGACACA